UUCUCUUUUAUGUUCUACGUUAUACAUUAUAGGAUGGAUUGCCGAUCAGAGUAACCAGAAUAAAUAUUUUAAACUGUAAUCCUUUUCUUAAAAGAGCAAUAUAUGCUGUUCUAAAUGAUCGAGCAAAAGCAAAGUUACAAAUCUUUACCGAUGAAAGUAGUUUUCUUAAUGAGACAACAAUACCGAUUAUGCCGAAUGAUAUAGGUGGAGAUGGUCUGGAAAAUAAUAAAUUGACUAACAAUACACAUACGAGAAUGGUUGAUUUCUACAAUAAGCGAAAAGAAAUAAAAGAUAAAAAAAAACCCAGCACAGUUGAGUCGCGGCAUAGU